rnacentral:rRNA from 1 species
UACGAAGGGGGCUAGCGUUGUUCGGAUUUACUGGGCGUAAAGCGCACGUAGGCGGUUUGUUAAGUCAGGGGUGAAAUCCCACAGCUCAACUGUGGAACUGCCUUUGAUACUGGCAAGCUAGAGUCCGGAAGAGGUAAGUGGAACUCCUAGUGUAGAGGUGGAAUUCGUAGAUAUUAGGAAGAACACCAGUGGCGAAGGCGGCUUAACUGGGUCCGGA